rnacentral:rRNA from 1 species
UACGGGGGGGGCAAGCGUUGUUCGGAAUUACUGGGCGUAAAGGGCUCGUAGGUGGCCAACUAAGUCAGACGUGAAAUCCCUCAGCUUAACUGGGGAACUGCGUCUGAUACUGGAUGGCUUGAGUUUGGGAGAGGGAUGCGGAAUUCCAGGUGUAGCGGUGAAAUGCGUAGAUAUCUGGAGGAACACCGGUGGCGAAGGCGGCAUCCUGGACCAACACCGACACUGAUGAGCGAAAGCCAGGGGAGCAAACGGG